AGUGAACGCUGGCGGUAGGCCUAACACAUGCAAGUCGAACGGCAGCACAGGAGAGCUUGCUCUCUGGGUGGCGAGUGGCGGACGGGUGAGGAAUACAUCGGAAUCUACUCUGUCGUGGGGGAUAACGUAGGGAAACUUACGCUAAUACCGCAUACGACCUACGGGUGAAAGCAGGGGAUCUUCGGACCUUGCGCGAUUGAAUGAGCCGAUGUCGGAUUAGCUAGUUGGCGGGGUAAAGGCACACCAAGGCGACGAGCCGUAGCUGGUCCGAGAGGAUGAGCAGCCACACUGGACCUGAGACACGGUCCAGACUCCUACUGGAGGCAGCAGUGGGGAAUAUUGGACAAUGGGCGCAAGCCUGAUCCAGCCAUACCGCGUGGGUGAAGAAGGCCUUCGGGUUGUAAAGCCCUUUUGUUGGGAAAGAAAUCCAGCUGGCUAAUACCCGGUUGGGAUGACGGUACCCAAAGAAUAAGCACCGGCUAACUUCGUGCCAGCCGCCGCUGUAA
rnacentral:rRNA from 1 species